GAUACUCAUUCACUGUCCCUUUUGAUUUGCUUUCUUCAUGAGCAGGCAUAAUAAUUAUUAGUCUUGUUUCUGUGAAAACUUAGCUCUUAUUAUGUGUGAGAGAACCCAUACUGGGGAGAAACCUUAUAAAUGUGAUAUGUGUGAGAAAACCUUUGUCCAAAGCUCAGAUCUUACUUCACACCAGAGGAUCCACAAUUACGAGAAACCUUAUAAAUGUAGCAAAUGUGAGAAGAGCUUUUGGCAUCACUUAGCGCUUUCAGGACAUCAGAGAACACAUGCAGGUAAAAAAUUCUAUACAUGUGACAUUUGUGGCAAGAAUUUUGGUCAGAGUUCUGAUCUGCUUGUCCACCAGCGAAGCCAUACUGGCGAGAAACCAUAUCUAUGUAGUGAGUGUGACAAAUGCUUCAGUAGAAGUACAAACCUCAUAAGGCAUCGAAGAACUCACACAGG
rnacentral:lncRNA from 1 species